rnacentral:rRNA from 1 species
UACGGGGGGUGCAAGCGUUGUCCGGAAUCAUUGGGCGUAAAGCGUUCGUAGGUGGCACGUCAAGUUUGGUGUCAAAGCCCGGGGCUCAACUCCGGUUCGGCAUUGGAUACUGGCGAGCUAGAAUGCGGUAGAGGUGAUGGGAAUUCCUGGUGAAGCGGUGAAAUGCGUUGAUAUCAGGAGGAACACCGGUGGCGAAAGCGCAUCACUGGGCCGUUAUUGACACUGAGGAACGAAAGCCGGGGGAGCAAAU